rnacentral:rRNA from 1 species
CCUACGGGUGGCAGCAGUGGGGAAUAUUGCGCAAUGGGCGAAAGCCUGACGCAGCGACGCCGCGUGAGGGAUGAAGGUCUUCGGAUCGUAAACCUCUGUCAGCAGGGAAGAACGGUCACUGUGCUAAUCAGCAGUGAAUUGACGGUACCUGCAAAGGAAGCACCGGCUAACUACGUGCCAGCAGCCGCGGUAAUACGGAGGGUGCGAGCGUUAAUCGGAAUUACUGGGCGUAAAGCGCUCGUAGGCGGUAUGUCAAGUCAAGGGUGAAAUCCCCGCGCUCAACGUGGGAACUGCCUUUGAAACUGGCAAACUGGAGUGUGUGAGAGGAUAGUGGAAUUCCAGGUGUAGGAGUGAAAUGCGUAGAUAUCUGGAGGAACAUCAGUGGCGAAGGCGACUAUCUGGCACAUAACUGACGCUGAGGAGCGAAAGCGUGGGUAGCAAACAGGAUUAGAUACCCGAGUAGUC